CGUAAUUUACCUAAAAGCCUCGAGGCCCAUUUUUGUUUAACUUCAUUCUUUUCACUCUGUAAAAAGAAAGAAAGCAAAAAAAGAAAUUAAAAUACAAUACAAACACGAAAGAAAACUAGAAAGAUAAUUAGUUAAUCACCAAGAAGAUUAAUAAAGAAAAACAAAAAAUUCUAAUCAAAGGGUUGACCGGAAAGAGAAAAUCAAAUAGACUGACAUCUAUUGAGAGAAAGAGUUAAAGUCGCUCGCCAUUGUUUCUACAACUAAAAGGAGAAAGUGAUUAACUAAUUUAUAGAAUUUUUUUUAAUUCUAAUUUUUAAUUUUUUUCUGUAAUAAUUUAUUUCUUAUUCGCAAUUACGAUUAACCAUGAGCUUGGGAUCCAAGUGUUUCUUUGAUUGUAAAACAAUUGGUGGUGAUGAAAUUUCGAUCAACAUGGUGAACAAUCGUUGGUAACAAUCAAUUGGACCAUAAAGUGUAUAAUCAAGCAACAUCCAUAUUCACCCAAUCACACAGGCAAACAUUGGAUUUAACCAUAUGCUUGAUAAGCUUUUACACUGAACAUGCUGAUGGUUGGGAUAAGAUUUUAAAUUGUUGAUGAUGAUGGCGAUGGCGAAAGAUGAAGUAUACGAUGAAAUGCUGUUUCUAAAAUAGACUGUGAAGAAAGUGAAUUUAUUUACAGAAGAGAUGAAGAUGAAGAAGAAGAAGAAGAAGAAGAUGAAGAAGAAAACAGUUUGAUGUAGAUAAAUAUUCUGCGUAACUUUUUAAAAAAAAGGAUAACUGAUCAUAAAAAUGUCAUCUACUUUUCCUUAAGACAUUCCUAACAGUAGUAAGAAUCUUUAUCUUCAUCAUCUUCAUCAUCAUCUUCAUCUUCUUACGAUUAUUAUGAAGAUAAUAGUGCUACUGUUAUAUACUAUUUAAGAUUUUUUCUUUUCACUCCCUGAUUGCCCAUCGUUUGAAUAUUAGUAUAUUAUUGGUGAUAAUUAUCAUCUUAAUAGUAUAUUUUAUGUUGGUAAAUUUUGGGUUACAAAUCUGUGAAUUGAUUGAGUGAAGUUAAACAUAGUUAAUAAUGAUAAUUACCAUUAUUAUCUUCAUCUUAUCCUUCAUAUUUAUCAUCAUCAUCUUCAAUAAUCUACGCACACAAAUGUCAAAAAGGAAACUGCAUUUAUCAUUAAAUGCUAACUAUUGAUUACCGUUGAUGAUUAAGAUUCUACUUGUCAACUUUUCCUCUUAAUCUUUUAAAAUGGUUAAUAGUGAACUUCCUAAGGAAAAAUAACGGAGUUAACACUUUGAUUGGAUUUUACUUUAUUAUCACCAACAACUUUUAAUCAUUUCAGACCUUGAUUGUCAUUAAUAAAUGAUUUUAAUUUCCCUCUAUUUUUAUUCAGAAAAUUGUCAACAAUCAACGAAUCAUAUGAGAUGUAUAACCUAAUUACGAAUGGAAAAAUUGUUCAACAAAAAAAAUGAGGAACACUGAUAAUAAUUACAAUUAAUCGUGAAGACAAUCUAAUUACUUGUGAUCAAAAAUAAGGGCGAUGGAUUUGAUUUAUUAUCGAAAAUCAUUUAAAUACAAUGAAUUUAGCAACGGAUUAGCUGGAUGAUAAACCGUCAAGUCAACAAUUGGGAUGAUUAUUGUUCCUUUUCUUUUGUUUAUCCUUCCUGAACUCAGAGAGAAACGAUAACACCAAACGAGCAGAGAGAAAAUAAUAGAUUUAAAAAAAAGAGGAAGAUGAUGAGGAUGGAGAAGACGUCGAGAUGGAAUACAUAAAAAAAGGAGAAAGAGCUAUUUCUGGACCUGAGGUCGUAUGAGAUGUGAAAAAGGGGAUAAAAGAGAGAGAACGAAGAUGAAGAUGAAGAUUGAGGAUGAUAAUGAUUACGAGAGUAUAAGUGAGAGAGAGAGAGGAUAAUGUUAAAUCUCUGAACGUUUUCUUAUCCGUGGCUACCAGAGAAAGAGAAAGAAGGAGAAUUAAGCAAACGCAAUGGAAUCAGAUCAACUUCAUUGAUAAAUCCUUUCAUCAUCAUCAUCAUCAUCAUCAUCUUAGUAGAAAAUAAAAAACAAGAAGAUUCAGGAUUUCAAGAGAUGCAGAGGAAAAAUCAACCAAGCGAAGAAGAAGGAAAAUGAAGAGAAAAAGAUGUGAUUCGUAUCAUCAUCAUCAUCAUCUCGAUAUGCUCACUAGCUGUGUUUCUCUUUCACCUUCUCACCCAGAUGAUAAAGAAGAUAAAGAUGCUUAAAGAUGAGGAUGGAAAGAUGAUGAUGAGAAUGAGAAUGUUCGUAAAGGCAACCGACUACGAAGGUAGAAUUGGAUGGAAGCCUAAAUCAUCUUCUGCUUUUCUUUCGCCAUCAUCUUCGUCAUUUCAUCUUUUUUAUCAUCACCAACAUCAUCUUCUUCUGUCAUUUGAAUAAUGAAUCGCCUGAAGGUCUAUAAAAAUCAUAAACAACAACAACAAACAAAGAGAAAUGAUCAAACAUCACAUCGAACCUGGAAAACUUCAUCAUCGACUUAAUCAUCAUCAUCUUUAACAAAUGUGGUUUAAUUUUUUUUCUUUACAUUUCUCUUGAUAAUUAAUUACUCCAUCACCAUGAUACAUAUAUUUAUUAUAAUCAUAUAAUCAUGAUGAUUAACUUCAUCAUGAUUUAACUUCCUUAUUAUAAAUAUCUAAGGAAAGGCAAAAAUCUUAAUCUUUGGGAGUUUUCAACAUGGAAGAAAAUUUUAACGAACUGAUACUUCAUUAACUUUGAUUGAUGAGAGAGAGUCGAAAGGUUUUCGAGAUGAUGAUGACGACGAAGGAGAAGAUUUUUCGACAAUCAUGGAAUGCAUAUGAUGAUGAAAAAAUGAUCAACGUCAACAAGAUGGAAAAGUUCAACAUGGAGAAAAUUCUGACCAUGACGAAUGUUUUUUUCCCCUGAUAAAUAUUACAUUUUAUUUGAAAGUGUUUAUAUCUCUGAAUUUAUAGGUUAGGAUGAUGAAGAUGAUGAAGUUUUGGAGUGAAAAUGAUGAUGAUGAUUCUCUUGAAACGUUUCGUUGAAAAUCCUUACGUUGGAGUGAAAUUGUUUCAUUCGUUUCGUUGAGAAGAUCAGAGGAGAAGAAAAAAAAGAUUUCGUUUCGAACAAAAAUUUUCUUUUUCUUCUCUCUGUCUAUUUUAUCAUUCUCAUCAUUUUCCAUCUUCAUUUAUCUCUCUUCAUGUUCUCAUGAAAUUAACAGAGUUACUUGUUGUUCAUUUGAAUAUAACCGUGAAGAUGAACAUUUUAAUCUAAUCUUUUUCUUCCUCUUCUUCUAGUUGAUUGUUAUUCAUCUUAAUCAUCAUCAUCAUCAUCAUCUUCAUCUUCUUCAUCUUCUCCUUCAUCUCCAUCUCCAUCUUCAUCAUCUUAUGUUUAUUUUCAAUCUUCCUUUGUAUGGUUAUCAUCAUCAUCAUCGUAAGUGAGUCAGUUUAAAAUAAUAAUGAUAAUAUUAUUAUAAAUGUUUCGCUGAUAAACAUUUUUAAUUGUAAUUAAUUAAAUGUAUCAAAAGUUUUGUAUAUUUGAAAAGUAUUAGAUAAAGAUAUCAAGUGUAUUUGAUGGUUCACUACUUGAGUUAAUCAACUAAUCACAUAAUCAAACUAAUCAACUUGAAUUGAUUCCUCUUGUUAAACCAGACAAAUAAUAUUAACAAUCAAGCAAAACAAUCAUACAAUUAAAACAAUUAAAAAGAGAUAGAGGAAAACAA